UUCAAGCUCCGGGCCCAGAACAGCUCUGUCAGACAACACUGACAUUACAUUUUGGCCUUUGACAGAGCUUCAUCGGUUUUCUGACCCACUCUGGUGUCUCAGGCCCUGUCCCAACUAUGCCAAGCAGCCUCUACUCACUGCUAGUAGUUCCAACCUAUGCAGAUGCUGCUCAUCUGCUCUGUACCGUUUAUUCUUUUUGAUUCCACGACAGAUGAAGAUGAAGAAGUACUCACACUGGGCUGCUUUCCUGUGAUCCCUCAUCCACACUUCUUCCUGCAGGGAACUCCAAAUCUUUCUUGGUCAAAAGAGGAUCUAACCCAGGAGGAUUGGAGGACUCUGAGUAGGGGAAAGCACAGCUCAUUCUGAAAGACGUGACACACCAAGCAAUAAAAGACUGCUGGAGCACUGAGCAUGAAGUCAUGCACCAGCUGUUCUUGCAGGUUCCAUGCACAGAACUGAAGGCAGUGGGAAGGCUGUUGGAGUUGGGGAAAUGCAGCCCUGCACUGUAGCAUUGACUCUCCAACUGUCCACAGCCAGUUCUGGGCACGGAGAUGAGGACAAGGACUUCUCAGGUUAUGUGGAUUGUAAAACAAGUUAUACGAGAGAUCAUGAAACUAUAGAACCUCAAAGGAACUACUGUGUUUUUUCUGCCGGUGUAUGGAUCCCCUUUCUCCCUGGAUCACAUGAAAGUGUUCUAUUAAUGUGAAUUGGCUUAUGUUUGAGAACACUAUGCUGGAGAGCUAUGAAG